AGGGCCCUUGCAGGCAGCCAGCAGCAGCUCUGUGGCACCACGCUCGGUUCCGAUUGAUUACGGGGGCGUGCUGCGUGGCAGGAAAGAAGGCCUCCAGGAUGGGGUGUGAGGCCAAACGACCAAGCGCUGGCCCUGCCUGUUCAGAGGGCUUGUGACUCUUCGGCCACACUUCCAACAGCUGCCCCCGGUGUGAAAUGUGCUUGAAAAAGGAACAAAGGGGCGGAGGAGGAAACAAGCCAGACUGCAGCUCCAACCUCUGCUCCCAAGAACCCUGUCAGGAGAUGUGCGUGGCCGGACUGACCUUUCGCUCCGAGGGAGUGAUGGAUGCCACUCUCAGACUCCACGGCCCAGCCAUCCCUUCAGUGGGGGACCCCUCCUCCCUGCACACCACCCCCAUUGCCCUCCGCCAUCCAUCAGCUCCUACCCGCUGGCCAGAGAGAGGUGAGGGGACGGGAGUGAUCUGAGCUAAUCAGCUAAAAUGCACGGGGCAGAGUGUGUGUGUAGAGAUCCAGUGAGCAGCCCAAAAUCCAGUGGCCCAGGGGAAUGUAGGAGGCUGAAAUGGCAAAUUGCAUGGGGUUGGGUUUCUCUAAAGGACUUGGCGGUUAUUUUGGACCCAGGGCUUUGCACUACUGUAGGGAUGUGAUUACGUGUGAGAAUGUGAGUGUGAAAGUGAGUGUGUGCAUGAGAAUGGCUGGGCGUGAUGGUGAUUGUGCCUGUGUACGACUGACCGUGAGUAUGUGAAUGAGGUCGCAUGCCUGCAUGAGAGCAUGUGAGGGUGAGAGUGAGCGUGUGCAUGAGAACAGCUGCUGGGGAAUGCAGAAAGAUGAGUGUGAAUGCAAGUGUGAUUGGGAGUGAAUAAGGAUGCGUGUUUGUGCCAGUGGGGGUGUUUGUAGCUAUGAGUGUGGGUGAGUGAGCAUGUGUGUGAGAAUGGGCGUGUGCACAAGAAUGAUGGCGAGGUGAAUGUGAACGUGUGUGAAUGUGUCCUCAUGAAUGAGUGCCCAUGCUUCUGAGUGCGUGUGUGAAUGAGUGUGACUGUGUAGGGCUAGACAUGAUUGUGUGUACGAGCCUGAAUGAGUGUUUGAUGUGUGUGAGUUCACGAACUUGUGUGCCUGUACAUGUGUAUGACCACGUAUGAGCACCCCAGUGUGAGUUCACAGUGUGUUUGUGUGUCGCAUGGUUAGAAUGUGUGAGUGAGCAAAGAGUCUGGCUUGGAGAAAGCUUCAGGGUCAAAGUGCUUGUUCCAACAGAGAUUUUUUGGGUGGGCCGAUCCUUUUUCCCCAAAUGAGUUUUUGUAAUUGCUUGAUUUACUCAGCUAGACCAAUCUACUCGGCUGCCUUUUAAUUGCUGGAAAAGUUGUGCAGUGUUUCAUGUUUUAGGGAGUGCUGAAUUGUAUAAUUAAAACACUAACGGUGUAAAUCAACAGUGCAGAAGAAAGACAGCAGCGAAUUAAGCAGGCUUCUCGGCAUCAUAAUAAAACCAAACCGGCGUGAAGUGGGUC
rnacentral:lncRNA from 1 species